AGAGGGCCAGAAGGACCAGCUGGUGUUGCUGCAGGUGACUGAAGAGAAUUUGCAGGCGCUAGUGAAGGACGAGAUGGACCAGAUGAUUGGCCAGAUGCUGGACGAGGAUUCGCAGACGAUGCUGCUGCUGUCUGACGUAGAUUUUCAGAUACAGGAGCUGCAGACGGACUAGCUUGACGAGAUUCUGGACGACGCAGAUGAGACGAUGCAUACGACGCUGGACAAGGAGCUGCUGUUUGCUGUUGUGUAUUUUCAGGUAUUGGUGCAUCAGGCGAGCGGAAAUCUGGACAGGACGAUGGACGAGAUGGUGCAGACGCUGAGAACGAGGCAGAGAGUGCAGGAGGCGCGUCUACUGGAGGCACAG